rnacentral:rRNA from 1 species
GACGAACGCUGGCGGCGUGCUUAACACAUGCAAGUCGAACGGAAAGGCCCUGCUUUUGUGGGGUGCUCGAGUGGCGAACGGGUGAGUAACACGUGAGUAACCUGCCCUUGACCUUGGGAUAACUUCAGGAAACUGGGGCUAAUACCGGAUAGGAGCUCCUGCUGCAUGGUGGGGGUUGGAAAGUUUCGGCGGUUGGGGAUGGACUCGCGGCUUAUCAGCUUGUUGGUGGGGUAGUGGCUUACCAAGGCUUUGACGGGUAGCCGGCCUGGGAGGGUGACCGGCCACAUUGGGACUGAGAUACGGCCCAGACUCCUACGGGAGGCAGCAGUGGGGAAUAGUGCACAAUGGGCGGAAGCCUGAUGCAGCAACGCCGCGUGCGGGAUGACGGCCUUCGGGUUGUAAACCGCUUUCGCCUGUGACGAAGCGUGAGUGACGGUAAUGGGUAAAGAAGCACCGGCUAACUACGUG